CCUACGGGAGACAGCAGUAGGGAAUAUUGCUCAAUGGGGGGAACCCUGAUCCAGCGACGCCGCGUGAGUGAAGAAGUAUUUCGGUAUGUAAAGCUCUAUCAGCAGGGGAGAAAGACAUGACGGUACCUGACUCCGAAGCCCCGGCUAACUACGUGCCCGCAGCCGCGGUAAUACGUAGGGGGCAAGCGUUAUCCGGAUUUACUGGGGGUAAAGGGAGCGUAGACGGCGAUGCAAGUCUGAAGUGAAAGGCGGGGGCCCAACCCCUGGACUGCUUUGGAAACUGUAUGGCUGGAGUGCAGGAGAGGUAAGUGGAAUGCCUAGUGUAGCGGUGAAAUGCGUAGAUAUUAGGAGGAACACCAGUGGCGAAGGCGGCUUACUGGAGUGUAACUGACGCUGAGGCUCGAAAGCGUGGGGAGCAAACAGGAUUAGAUACCCGUGUAGUC
rnacentral:rRNA from 1 species